UUCACAUACGGAGGGAAGCGAAAAGAGAAACAGAAUGUCUUUGGAACAAAUGAAAGUCUAAAACUCAAACCCUGUGUCACAUAACUGUUGCUGCGGAGCUACAAGAACGCCAGACCCAGACUGGAUCAGAAAGAGUCUUUUUCUGUGUUUGAUGAGGGCCAGCUGCCAAAGUCAGUGUUUAACUAGCCAGUUAAAUAGAACACUGAAUACCAGUUCUGUGCCAAAUUUAUCUGGGCCAAGGCCUGAGGGAUAAAGUUCAUGUGCAGUGGAGCCAGAUGUGCAAAGCAACACAACAGCCGCUCCUCUGACCAGUUCCAACCGGUCCAGACCAGUGCAGCUGCAGCUGAGAUCACAGCAGGUCCAAGCAGAGCGAGCCGACGCCCUGCUCAGGCAGGGGUAAUCCUGAGGUGAUGACACUUCAGUCUGGCUUCACAG